ensembl:piRNA 21ur-15674 ncRNA
AGAAGAUUUUGGAUGGAAACU